rnacentral:rRNA from 1 species
ACACGUACUACAAUGGCCGCAACAGAGGGCAGCCAGGCCGCGAGGCCGAGCGAAUCCCGAAAAGACGGUCUCAGUUCGGAUUGCAGGCUGCAACUCGCCUGCAUGAAGUCGGAAUUGCUAGUAAUGGCAGGUCAGCAUACUGCCGUGAAUACGUUCCCGGGCCUU